GACGAACGCUGGCGGCGUGCUUAACACAUGCAAGUCGAACGGAAAGGCCCUGCUUUUGUGGGGUGCUCGAGUGGCGAACGGGUGAGUAACACGUGAGUAACCUGCCCUUGACUUUGGGAUAACUUCAGGAAACUGGGGCUAAUACCGGAUAGGAGCUCCUGCUGCAUGGUGGGGGUUGGAAAGUUUCGGCGGUUGGGGAUGGACUCGCGGCUUAUCAGCUUGUUGGUUGGGUAGUGGCUUACCAAGGCUUUGACGGGUAGCCGGCCUGAGAGGGUGACCGGCCACAUUGGUACUGAGAUACGGACCAGACUCCUACGGGAGGCAGCAGUGGGGAAUAUUGCACAAUGGGCGGAAGCCUGAUGCAGCAACGCCGCGUGCGGGAUGACGGCCUUCGGGGUGUAAACCGCUUUCGCCUGUGACGAAGCGUGAGUGACGGUAAUGGGUAAAGAAGCACCGGCUAACUACGUG
rnacentral:rRNA from 1 species